rnacentral:rRNA from 1 species
GAUGAACGCUGGCGGCGUGCCUAAUACAUGCAAGUCGAGCGAACGGACGAGAAGCUUGCUUUUCUGAUGUUAGCGGCGGACGGGUGAGUAACACGUGGUUAACCUACCUAUAAGACUUGGAUAACUUCGGGAAACCGGAGCUAAUACCGGAUAAUAUUUUGAACCGCAUGGUUCAAAAGUGAAAGACGGUCUUGCUGUCACUUAUAGAUGGAUCCGCGCUGCAUUAGCUAGUUGGUAAGGUAACGGCUUACCAAGGCAACGAUGCAUAGCCGACCUGAGAGGGGGAUCGGCGACACGGGAGCUGAGACGCGGUCAAGACGCCUGCGGGAGGCAGCAGUAGGGAAUCGUCCGCAGUGGGCGAGAGCCUGACGGAGCAACGCCGCGUGAGUGAUGAAGGUCUUCGGAUCGUAAAACUCUGUUAUUAGGGAAGAACAUAUGUGUAAGUAACUGUGGACAUCUUGACGGUACCUAAUCAGAAAGCCCCGGCUAACUACGUG